UUGUGGUUUACAGCCUGACUUCUCAGUCAAACGAUUAAUGGAUCUGUGCCCCAAGGUAAUUUUCAGUUUAGGCGGGUUUCCCCAUGUAUCCAAUACACAGGCACGUAUAAAUCAAGCGAGGUGGAGGAGGAAAGUGGGAGGGAAACUACUGUAAUUUCUACAUUGAUCAUUGCUACUUUGGAGUGGAACGGGAUUACUUCAGGUAGCUCAGCCAAAGAUGUUUGGACACCAAUCCCUUUCUCCAGAAUUCUCUCUCGCUUCCUCAAAAGACUCUGUGCUGAUGUGGGUAGUCCUCUGCACCAGGUUUUCAGGGGCUGUGGCUUUUUCCUUAGUGUAUCACAUUUGUACUAGUGUUAAAUAUAUCAUACAACCAGGACACCCCACUAAAUGACCCUUGGGGUCCCUUCCAACUCUAUGGUUCACUUAUAUGUGAACCAGCCUUAGCCACAUGGAUCAUGGGUAGGGAACCUCAGGCCCAGAGUCCAAAUGCAGUCCUCCAAGCUUCCUCUAGGUCACAUAACUCACCCACCCUGCUCCACAUUCCUAGGUGCUUUUGCCUGACUGGAAUUCAACCUUGAACUGCGACAAUGCCUCAGGCUUGCCCGAAUGGAGAGAUUUGUGUUUUGGGGAGGGGGUUGUGACAAACAAGCAAAAAACUAAAAUGGAAUGGAAUGGAAAGGAGGGGGAGAUGAGGAGGUCAUGACUCAAAUGUUGUUUAUUUUAUUAAUGUAGAAUUAAUAGAAUUGUAGAACUGAAGAGUUGGAAGAGGAUCAUCUAGUCUAACCCCUGCAAUCAGCAGCUCAGGUGGGGUGUUCUCCGCCGCCGGGUGUGAGGCGCCUCACAGCCAGAGAGGGUGGGCAGCAGCAUUGCCACCGACUCUCCUGCUCUCCUACCCUGGGUCAUGCCUGUUUGUGCCCCCUCUCAAAAUUGCGGUGCCACGGCACCCCCCACGCUACGCCUCUGCCUGCAAUGCAGGAAUCUCAGCUAGAUCAUACAAGACAGGUGGCCAUCCAAGCUUUGCUUAAAAACCUCUAAUGAAGGAGAGUCCACCAAGUUAUGAGGGAGUCCGUUCCACUGUCUUAACAGCUUCCUGUCCGAAAGUUCUUCCUGGUGUUUAGUCAGAAUCUUCUUCCUUAUCACUUGAAACCAUUGGUUCGGGUCCUACUUUCCAGAGCAGGAGAAAACAAGCUUGCUGCAUCUUCCAUGUGACAACCCAUUUGUGUCUGUUGCCCCACUCAUAAUUGGCACUGACUCUGUAAACCAGUGGCAUGAUGUGUCUUCUGGAAAGUUGCCCAUAAAGAAAUAAGGCCCUUGAGCUGAAUUUUUUUUUUCCUUCCCGUUUGUAGACAAAGGAUUUCUACACAAAUAUGCUGGGACACACAGCAGGACCUCCUCCAAUUGAGUCAAUACGCCUCUGAAUAGCAAUUGCUGGGAAUCACAGGUGGGCAGUGUGCUGUGUGCGCAGGUUCUGCUUGUGUUGCUUCUCACAGGUAUCUGGUUGGUCACUCUGAAAACAGUGCUGCACUAGAUGGGUCACUGGCCUGAUCCAGCUGGCUUUUUUAUGUUCUUUUGACCAGCAUGUUCAAACGGAAGGAGAUGGUUCUUCAUGCAUGGUGGUCCUAAACCGUUUAAUAAAUGCAAGUAAUUUGUGACUGAGCAAGCAGGAUCCAUGGUUGCCAAGUUAGCAUGAACAAGCCCUUUGCGUGUUACUCCACACUUGACAAACUUUGACUUUCAGCCACCAAGGAAUCUCUGAGGCUGUUUCACAAGGCAGAGAACUUCCAAAAGUCCUUUGCUGUGCUGUAGCCUAGAAAUCAUUAGGGGGUUCACAAAUUCACUGGAUUCCAGCAAAACUGUUGACUGAUUUUACAGACAACAACAGCAACACUUUGUUUUCUGCUUUUAUAAAUGGAAAAAUCUCUGUGCAUUCUGUAAGUUUGGGCUUGAAGGACAAAUGAUAAAUUUGGGAUGAUUUCUUUGGUGAAUUGCCAAUGGCUGCAGAAAAGUGAAGUCAUUCUUUUGGCAGCAGAACCCUAUUUGGGUAUCCAAAGUGCUUCUGUCCUCUUGCUACAUCUAUCUUUAUUGUCCUGUUGCCAUGUACUAGCAAUAAAGGCACAGUACUGUAAAAUGCUUGUUUUUCCUGAGGAUUUCUAAGGAAUUGUAUAAAAAACACUGAAGGAAAGAAAACACUAUGAGGAAAUGUUAGAUCUGUGCUAAAAGUAUUAGCUGUAUGCUCCGAAACCACUGCCAAUGGAGUUUUAUUCUCCAACGCCACUGAGGUCACUGAAAAGAUUAGAUCUGUUUCCAGUUCCCAUGAAUGCCUGUUGGAGGUGAGGAAUCAACCCUGGUAAACAAAAAGCCAGUGACUGGGCUAGCACGAAUUAGCCUGUGAUGUUAUAUAAACAAGAGGCAGCUCAUUUGCCUCCAAAGAAACCAUGAGGUAUGUUGGGAAGUAUUUUCCCCAUGCCGCUCUUUCGGACUAUGAACACCAGAUGAUGUAGCUUCUAUCCAUGGACAUAGGGAGCUGAUUAUGAACUUCCUGGUUGAAUAACAGCAGCCAGAGUCUUGCCAGCCCAUAGAAUUAACUUAUUUUAAAACUGGGAAAGCAAGAUGUUUCUAUUUUAGUUUUGCCCUAAGGGUUGUAUACUUCCCUUGUUUCCCUCUUUCAAUUCUUCCUGUCAAGUACUAAUUGCAUUUACAAUGUCAAUUCUUAUUAUGAUUCAAUAGUUUUAACAUUCUCCCACAGGAGCUGACAGCCUCCGCAACACGCUGCUGAUUGGUGAGCUCACUUGAUCCCUCAGCUUGGGCAAGGGAAAAACUUCAGUAGGUCUUAAAGGGUGUGGGGAGAAAGCCUUUAUCACAUUAACCUGGUUGGCAACUGUGCCUGAGAUAAGCCACUGAAGUUAUUCAAGGUGAAUGCAGUUGGUGCUCAAGGAACUGAAUGCUGCAACUGGCUAGAAAUGUUAACCAAGGACAGAAUCUGCAGCCUUGUAAGGAGCUUAGAUUUAUGUUUUUGCUGAUAAUACUUUGAUAUGGCAGCGAUAAGAACACUGCAAGCUGUACUUGUGGCAAAGUAGUUGUAGCAGUGUUUGGGUAAUGAGAGACACAACUUUUGGGGCUGUUUCUCGGCUCUGUCCAAAUGCCGCAACGCUGCAGCUUUGCAUUCAUAAUGCUUUGAUAUGGUGAUAGUAAUUACGCUGUAAGAUGUACUUGUGGCAAUGCAGCUGCAGCAAGCUGGGUUAUGACAAAGAUCACCACAGGAGAAGUGCAAUGGUCUUGGGCCGUUUCUCUUCUCUGUUCCUCUGCUGCAAUUCUGCAGCUUCCUCAUACCUUUCUUUUUCUCCCUGGGCUCUGCUCUAUUCUCUCCAGUAAGGGAAUUGCUGCUCCAUUUCCUCUUUUCAUUCUGCUGACACAACAUGGGUUUAGUGCCUAUGAAUGUCACUUCUAUGUUUAUCAGGCAAGUAGCUAUCAUGACCAUGUUGAAAAAAGGUGAAGUAGGUUGUUAGAGAAAGAGAGAAUGUUGUGGCAAUGAUUUUUAGGUGUUUAGUGCCAUCAGUUCUAAAAUGCCGUGCUACAACCUUUUUAAACCCCCGGAAGAUUCUUUAAGAAUUUGCUUGCACAGCUCCUGCCUGCCUUUUUUGUUAUUUCGUUGGCAGCACUAGGAUACUUGACUGUUCGGGGAAGUUUAAUGGAUGGUAUUCACCUAAGCUUUAUUCAGUUUAGGCCUAUCAAAAUUAAUGGACCUUAGUCGUGUUCAUUAAUUUCAGUGGGUCUAUUCUGAACAAAACUGAAUACUACCCAGUGCUGCUAAGUAAGUUGCAGUCUUUGGAGGAAUGCCGAGCUAUGUAACAUUGGUUGUAAGCUAUUGAGCUAAUCAUGGAUCAGUUGAGAUCAUAAGUACUUGCCUUGACACCAUCUAUCUGUGGUCUCGUUUAUCAUGUUUAGGUGUUGUGAAACAGGAUGAAGCCCAGGCCAUACCGUACUCCCCCGAGGCUCUGAGGGUGGAGGAACUACCAAGAGGGCCUCCUCAGCACUCAAGAGAGUCUGUAGGAAAGGAUAUGCUCUUUCAAAUAUUGGGGGCCUGAGUCAUCUAGGGCUUUAACAACUAAUGCGAGCACCUUGAAUUGGGCUCGGAAACAAAUUUGCAACCAGUGCAGCUGUUUUAAAACAGGGGUUAUAAACAGAACCCUAGCCAGUAAUUUAGUUGCUGCAUUUGGGACCAGCUGAAGUUUCCAAGUCAUCUUCAAGAGCAGCUCUACAUAGAGAGCCUUGCAAUAAACCAAUCUAGAAGUUACUGGAGCACGGAGUGCAAUGGCCAAGCUAGUUCUGUCCAAAAGAGGUUGUAGCUGGGGAAUCAGCUAGAGUUGAAAAAAGGCACUCCUAGCCACCGAGGGCACCCGAGCCUCCAGCGAAGUGUUGAAUCCAAGAGCACCCCCAAACUGUGAACCUGCUCCUUCCAGGGUGGUGUAACCCCUGUUCAGGGCAGGCUGUCUCCUGGAUGUGAGAACCUGAGACACAUAGCACCUCUGUCUUUCACUCAUUGGUGUUUUUGCAUUUUCACUUUACUACUAAUUUAUUGCAGGAACAACCACUGGGAGUAUCUCUAUCACUGUGACAGCUGUACUUCUCAAAAUAAUAGUACCUCUGGAAAAUUAAGCACUUGUAGAACAUUAAAACAUGUGGUCCAGUCCUUAUGGGACUGUACAUGUCUCAUAUAUGUGGGUGGAUAACUGCUUGUUUGAAAGUGCUCUUAGCACCUAAAAGUUACCACAUACACAUAAAUGCUAUGCACCUGAGAGAAGGUUACAAACAGAUGCUCCCCCUACUGUAUACUUUGGGUGGUAUAUAUAAAAUUUAACUAGCAUUUCAUUCUAAACCUUUGCUGAAAGAAAACUGUAGGCAGUUGCAAGCUGUAAACAAUUUUUGCCAUUUUAGAAAGAAGCAACUUCCGAGAGUGUCCUCCUAAAACAGUAUUCUGUGCUCCUUUACUCGCUAUAAUAGAAUGUGAGACACGAUAAUCAGCGUGGAAAGGGGGAAUAACACCAUAUGGCUGAAUCAGAAGCAAAGUAGUUACCAUGGUAGUAGAAGCACACAUUACCACUCCAGGAAGGAGAAAUAUUAUGCAAUCAUAUAAUUAGAAAAAGUGGUUGGAUUUUAAAAAAAGUGCAUAUAUGCAGAAAACUCAAGCAUUAAAUCCUAUUAGAUAAACUUGAUUCAUUGUUAUAAGAGAAAAUUACCCAUAACUUUUCAUUUUUUAACUCCCUUAUGACUGAGAAAUUAUUUAUCUUAUUUUUAUUUGUUUAGUUUUAUAUAAAAGGGCAUCUACUAUAUGUAUCAUUCUGCUAGUGAUAUUUGAGGUGGAAGAAGAAGAAAUAAACUAUGUUGUUUUUACUGUAAACAGAAAUAAUAUUUAUGGCCAUAUGGCUAAAGAUGUACUGUACUUUAGAAUUGCCUUGUAUGGUAUGCAUUUACCCUGUUCUUAGAAACAGACUUGUGGCUUCAAAGCUUGCUUGUUAUCCUACCUUUUCUUUUCUCCUAGGGCCCUCUUUCCCCCUCCUAAGUCCCAAAAUUAAGACAGAUGCACCUGCUCUGUGCUACAUUUGAACGGGUGAAGAAGGGUAGUUCCAAGUAUGAUCCAUUUUGAUCAUUCUUUAAAAAAACAUUAAUAUUUUAAUUGGUUUCUUCAUUUUAUCCAGCACAUUGUAAACUGCACAUCAUGGCAAUAAAGAUCAAAUUCCAUUACACCAGUAAAAUACAAAUGAAAAACUUCAAAAACCAGAAAUAACAUUAUCGGUGGUACACUGCAUACCAAGAGGGCAGAUGACUGACAACCAACUGGAACAUGGUGACUAUUCCAUAUUUAGCAUUGCAGCGGUAUGCUAAAAUGUGCUUUUGUGCAUGGAGACACUUAUAAAUGUUCAAAUGUUUCCUCGCUAUAAAUUCA